rnacentral:rRNA from 1 species
GACGAACGCUGGCGGCGCGCCUAACACAUGCAAGUCGAACGAGCGAGAGAGAGCUUGCUUUCUCGAGCGAGUGGCGAACGGGUGAGUAACGCGUGAGGAACCUGCCUCAAAGAGGGGGACAACAGUUGGAAACGACUGCUAAUACCGCAUAAGCCCACGGGUCGGCAUCGACCAGAGGGAAAAGGAGCAAUCCGCUUUGAGAUGGCCUCGCGUCCGAUUAGCUAGUUGGUGAGGUAACGGCCCACCAAGGCAACGAUCGGUAGCCGGACUGAGAGGUUGAACGGCCACAUUGGGACUGAGACACGGCCCAGACUCCUACGGGAGGCAGCAGUGGGGAAUAUUGCACAAUGGGGGAAACCCUGGUGCAGCGACGCCGCGUGGAGGAAGAAGGUCUUCGGAUUGUAAACUCCUGUU